rnacentral:tRNA from 1 species
UACAAGUUAGUAUAUGAUGUACAAAAGUUUUUGAUACUUUUAGAGAUAGUUUGAUUCUAUUAUUUGUAA